GACGAACGCUGGCGGCGUGCUUAACACAUGCAAGUCGAACGCUGAAGACCUGGCUUUUGUUGGGUUGGAUGAGUGGCGAACGGGUGAGUAACACGUGAGUAACCUGCCCUCUUCUUUGGGAUAACGCCCGGAAACGGGUGCUAAUACUGGAUAUUCACUGAUCUUCGCAUGGGGGUUGGUGGAAAGGUUUGUUCUGGUGGGGGAUGGGCUCGCGGCCUAUCAGCUUGUUGGUGGGGUGAUGGCCUACCAAGGCUUUGACGGGUAGCCGGCCUGAGAGGGUGACCGGUCACAUUGGGACGGAGAUACGGCCCAGACUCCUACGAGAGGCAGCAGUGGGGAGUAUUGCACAAUGGGCGAAAGCCUGAUGCAGCGGCGCCGCGUGAGGGAUGGAGGCCUUCGGGUUGUAAACCUCUUUCGCUCAUGGUCAAGCCGCAACUGUGGGUUGUGGUGAGGGUAGUGGGUAAAGAAGCGCCGGCUAACUACGUG
rnacentral:rRNA from 1 species